rnacentral:rRNA from 1 species
CUACGGGGGGCUGCAGUGAGGAAUAUUGCGCAAUGGGGGAAACCCUGACGCAGCGACGCCGCGUGGAUGAUGAAGGCCUUCGGGUCGUAAAAUCCUGUCAGAAGGAAAGAAGUGUAUGGUAGCUAAUAUCUGCCAUACUUGACGGUACCUUCAAAGGAAGCACCGGCUAACUCCGUGCCGGCAGCCGCGGUAAUACGGAGGGUGCAAGCGUUGUUCGGAAUUACUGGGCGUAAAGCGCGCGUAGGCGGUUUUAUAAGUCAGAUGUGAAAGUCCACGGCUCAACCAUGGAAGUGCAUUUGAAACUGUAAGACUGGAGUAUUGGAGGGGGUAGUGGAAUUCCCGGUGUAGAGGUGAAAUUCGUAGAUAUCGGGAGGAAUACCGGUGGCGAAGGCGACUAUCUGGCCAAAUACUGACGCUGAGGUGCGAAAGCGUGGGGAGCAAACAGGAUUAGAUACCCGAGUAGUC